UACUUUCUGUAGUCAUUUCGCUCUUUUAAUGACUAUAUCUCCUUCUGGGAGUUGAAUUUGGCAAAACGGACACUGUAGAUCGAUCCGGAAUGGUCCAAAUAGUAGGGAACCGGUCUGACUUUGUAGAAAUCAGGUCUGCAAAUGGGUGAACCGGUCAAAAUAUCGAUUCUGGGCGUCGGGCGGUUCGCUGGGUUGAACCGGAAUAUUCUGCGGAAUAUUCUAUCGGCUCGGCUGCGGCUAAUAGUGGCUCGGCUUAGCGGCUCGGCUUACAAGGGAAUAUUCUCGGGAAUAUGCUUCGGCUCGGCUGGAGGCUUGGCUUGAGGCUCGGCUCGGCUCGGCUUAACGGCUCAAAUAUGGCGCGCGUGUGGCUCAGUCGUCGUCUACCUCUGGGCGCGUGGCUGCGCGUGGUCAAACAGUGCAGAAUCUUCAGGCGGCGCGUGUGGGCUACCUCCGUCUCCGAUCAAGCUGAUUUUUGCGGUAGUGAGUUCUUCUGGAUGAUCUCUACACUGUGGAAUGAUCAAAACUUGUUUAUGACAACUUUGAAAAUUCGGAUAUCUCCCAAAAACACUUCUGUUUUCUGACGAACGGGGCUCUGAUACCAAUUGUUGGUGGGAGAAACCACUUGUGGUGGCUUUGAAACACUCGGAGGGGAUAAAACACACUGUUUUAUUUCAAGAAACAAAUAGCUUACAAACACAAAAGCUUAACAAUACACGCCCUCUCUCUUUCUCUCUAGUGUUUCUCUCUACUCUCUCCACACA
rnacentral:lncRNA from 1 species